rnacentral:rRNA from 1 species
UACAGAGGGUGCGAGCGUUGUUCGGAAUUAUUGGGCGUAAAGGGCGCGUAGGCGGCGCCACAAGUCACUUGUGAAAACUCUGGGCUCAACCCAGAGCCUGCAGGCGAAACUGUGGUGCUGGAGUAUGGGAGAGGUGCGUGGAAUUCCCGGUGUAGCGGUGAAAUGCGUAGAUAGCGGGAGGAACACCUGUGGCGAAAGCGGCGCACUGGACCAUAACUGACGCUGAGGCGCGAAAGCUAGGGGAGCAAACAGG